rnacentral:rRNA from 1 species
CCUACGGGAGGCAGCAGUGGGGAAUCUUCCACAAUGGGGGAAACCCUGAUGCAGCGACGCCGCGUGAGUGAGGAAGUAUUUCGGAAUGUAAAGCUCUAUCAGCAGGGAAGAACAUGACGGUACCUGACUAAGAAGCCCCGUCUAACUACGUGCCAGCAGCCGCGGUAAUACGUAGGGGCCAAGCGUUCUCCGGAUUUACUGGGUGGAAAGGGAGCGUGGACGGUUAAGCAAGUCAGAAGUGAAAACCCAGGGCUCAACCUUGAGAAUGCUUUUGAAACUGAGUAGCUAGAGUGCAGGAGAGGUGAGCGGAAUUCCUAGUGUAGCGGUGAAAUGCGUAGAUAUUAGGAGGAACACCAGUGGCGAAGGCGGCUUACUGGACUGUAACUGACGUUGAGGCUCGAAAGCGUGGGGAGCAAACAGGAUUAGAUACCCGUGUAGUC